CGUUAUGAAAUGGAGUGGUUGGUGUAUUGCAUAGUUGUAGCGAUUGGAUUUCACUCAAAACCCACCAAAUGACUCCUCCCACCAUCUUAUGAUGUUUCCCAAGUUUUGGACACAAUCCGAUAUCGAUUGGUCCAUCAAAUUGGAUAAUUUAGGUUCAUACGAAGUUCGUUUUCAAAUGGAGUGGUUGGUGUAUUGCAUAGUUGUAGAGAUUGGAUUGCACUCAAAACC
rnacentral:lncRNA from 1 species